ACUGAGGAUGUGUGACUUUGUUCCCCCUGGACGCUGAGGGCAAUGCAGUACCAAUGCACAAUGCAACGACAUACAAGUCUCUAUGGAUUCUUGAAACACAGAAAAAUAACAUCUGAGUCAAGAGGGCUCUAUUGGCCCACCUCCUGGAAUUAGGAAAGUCCUUCACAACCUGUCAGCAAUGUCCAAAACUGGUUCUCUGGCUUCUGAAUGUGCCUGAGAACGGGACUCCGCCUCACCCAGGGAAUCGCU
rnacentral:lncRNA from 1 species